rnacentral:rRNA from 1 species
UGGCGGACGGGUGAGUAAUGUCUGGGAAACUGCCCGAUGGAGGGGGAUAACUACUGGAAACGGUAGCUAAUACCGCAUAACGCCGCAAGACCAAAGAGGGGGACCUUCGGGCCUCUUGCCAUCGGAUGUGCCCAGAUGGGAUUAGCUAGUAGGUGGGGUAAAGGCUCACCUAGGCGACGAUCCCUAGCUGGUCUGAGAGGAUGACCAGCCACACUGGAACUGAGACACGGUCCAG